rnacentral:rRNA from 1 species
AUUGAACGCUGGCGGCGUGCUUAACACAUGCAAGUCGAUCGGUAACAGGUGUAGCAAUACAUGCUGACGAGAGGCGGACGGGUGAGGAAUAUUUGGGAAUCUGCCCAUCAGCGGGGGACAACCCGGGGAAACCCGGGCUAAUACCGCAUACGCUCUACGGAGGAAAGCCGGGGACCGCAAGGCCUGGCACUGAUGGAUGAGCCCAAAUCGGAUUAGCCAGUUGGCGGGGUAACGGCCCACCAAGGCGACGAUCCGUAGCUGGUCUGAGAGGACGAUCAGCCACACCGGAACUGAGACACGGUCCGGACUCCUACGGGAGGCAGCAGUGGGGAAUAUUGGACAAUGGGGGAAACCCUGAUCCAGCGACGCCGCGUGGGUGAAGAAGGCCUGCGGGUUGUAAAGCCCUUUCGGUAGGGACGAAAGCUCUUGCUCUAACAAAGCAGGAGGUUGACUUAACCUACAUAAGAAGCACCGGCUAACUCUGUGCCGGCAGCCGCGGUAAUACAGAGGGUGCGAGCGUUAAUCGGAAUUACUGGGCGUAAAGCGUGCGCAGGCGGCGACAUAAGACAGAUGUGAAAUCCCCGGGCUCAACCUGGGAACUGCGUUUGUGACUGUGUUGCUAGAGUGUAGCAGAGGGGGGUGGAAUUCCACGUGUAGCAGUGAAAUGCGUAGAGAUGUGGAGGAACACCGAUGGCNNNGGCAGCCCCCUGGGUUAACACUGACGCUCAUGCACGAAAGCGUGGGGAGCAAACAGGAUUAGAUACCCUGGUAGUCCACGCCCUAAACGAUGCCAACUAGGUGUUGGGGGAGGAGACUUCCUUAGUACCGUAGCUAACGCGUGAAGUUGGCCGCCUGGGGAGUACGGUCGCAAGAUUAAAACUCAAAGGAAUUGACGGGGACCCGCACAAGCGGUGGAUGAUGUGGAUUAAUUCGAUGCAACGCGAAAAACCUUACCUACCCUUGACAUGUCCGGAAUCCUGAAGAGAUUUGGGAGUGCUCGAAAGAGAACCGGAACACAGGUGCUGCAUGGCUGUCGUCAGCUCGUGUCGUGAGAUGUUGGGUUAAGUCCCGCAACGAGCGCAACCCUUAUCAUUAGUUGCCAUCAUUUAGUUGGGCACUCUAAUGAGACUGCCGGUGACAAACCGGAGGAAGGUGGGGAUGACGUCAAGUCCUCAUAGCCCUUAUGGGUAGGGCUUCACACGUCAUACAAUGGUCGGUACAGAGGGUUGCCAACCCGCGAGGGGGAGCUAAUCUCACAAAGCCGAUCGUAGUCCGGAUCGCAGUCUGCAACUCGACUGCGUGAAGUCGGAAUCGCUAGUAAUCGUGGAUCAGCAUGUCACGGUGAAUACGUUCCCGGGUCU